rnacentral:lncRNA from 1 species
UUCUGGUCAUCAAAGUGCUGCAGGCUCACAACAGUUCUACUUCUGAAGGAAGGGAGCCCACGUGUGCAGGCUCAGGGAAUGAAGCCACAGAGGAGAGACAGGACAAGGAAAAAGGCAACUGUAGGAGGGUGGAAGGCUUGCCUCGCCCCGAGGAAACCUCACAUUCACAGCUCCAAGUGAUCCAAGGCAGCAGUCCCACAGAUCCCUGCACAGUGUGGGUCCUCAAUGCUCAAGGGCAGAAGUUAGCCCGCACCCUCCAAAUGACCUCUUGGGGACGUUGGGACGGAGAACUCAACCUAGUAAAUACCCACACUAGCGAUAUCACUGUCUGGUUAACUGGCUACUAGCAAAUUCCACGGCUAGAAGGGGUAACAAGGAGCAAGAGUCCAGUAUCUAGAGUUAUUGUUCAAAUCGACAGCUCGGUUCCCCAAACCCGCCUAGCCAAAUCCCUUAGCACUGUAUUCCUUCACACACCCCACCCCAGCCAGGCCUAGGCUCUCCUCCUGGCUUCUGCUCCUUCCAAACAAAAUUCACUUUUAUUCUCUGCCUAGCACAAGAAUUUAUUCACCAAUUUUUAGGCACCCACUAU